CAUUGGAAUAAAACAUUGGAUAUUAGGUGGAUAUAAACUCUUUCAUGUUUGUUUGUAGUAGACACUGGCGUUGGACUACAUUAGACCCAUUCGCCGUAAUCUAUAUGCAAGAUACGUACAAAUGUUAACGCUGGUCACACUUGUCUGUAUCUACUGUUCAUCAUUAGAAGUUACUGGAAAUGGUCUAAAACUGGAUGUUCAACCAGGUCACAUUGAGCCAGGUAGCACAAGAAACUUGGCCAUCAACUGUUCCAUGUCUUCACUCCAACAGUCCGCUAUGUUGUAUCUCAACUCUCUGAGUGUGUUCAAAGUGACCAAUGAGUCUCAAGCCGUAGAGAUAGCCUCUAUAAGUGUCUUUGGCGGAUACAUUGACGCGAACAACAGUGACGGUUUUGGCAGUGGCGUUAUCGACAACAACGGUACCCAUCAGAGCUGGGUGGACUCAGAGACGCCCGAAGAUCCUGAAAUAAAAAAUCCCAGUCUUCACCAGGAUUCGAACCCCGGACCCCGGUUCAGUAGCCAAGCGCUUUACCGCUCAGCCACCACGCCUCAGGUACGCAAUAGAUGCCAAGUAGCCAAGUAUUUGUCAGAAAACAGGUACUCUACAGAUGUCCGGCCCUCACUAGAUGUCAGAUGACCUUGGAAGCAAGGGAAAGUCUGCAACUCUCAAAUAAAUCGACACGAUUCCUUCUAGUCUACAACGCAAGGCAUCGCACCGUGCAGCAAGUUUUUCCACAGUCAAACCUGCCAUGUUUAUAUUAUUUAUUUAUUAAUACAAGAAACUUCCGAAAUAGACAUAGAUGAAUGAAUAACUCAUCAAUUAUUGAAGAACGGUAUUAAAAAAAACAGGGCAUUAGUUAUUAAUUACUGACAUGACAACAUUUUAUUAUAAUUAUUCAAAUGGAUUGGUAUGAACGAAUCAAAAAGCUGUUAGCAUUCUAUUAGUUCCAAUAAAAUGAGCCUUGUGAGUUGUCAACAUGUGUUAUAGCUGACUCUUUCGUAUAAACGAAUUGAAGAAGCACUAAGAUGACUCAGUGACUUUAACCAAUUGGAUGUUUGCCUAAGCAGUGAAAUUAAAGUAAUAGAUACUUCUAAUCAGAUAGAGCCUACGAUGACCAACUACAGGACUUGAUGAAAGCAAUAAAUAAUAAUAAAAUCUCCUCUGUUUGCCAUUUCCCGACAUUUCACAAUGCAAAGCCCAAAGCUCUGCAGAUGAACAAAGUGGUCCACAGUCUAUGUGUCACAUAGAACACGUUUAGUUUGGGGAAGAAGUGCUUUCCUUUAAAGACAAGUUUAGGUUUCAAAUAGACAUGUUCCUAUUAGAAGUCAAGUCUUAACGUUUAAAAACAACAAACAAAAACAUGUCCUUACCUUUCCA